rnacentral:misc_RNA from 1 species
UUAACUAUUAUAUGGUAAUCAGACGACAUUAAAUAAGAGUUGAAGGUUCUUUAGCGGGCACUCACCAGCGCAAGCCGGUGGCUAAGGCGGCCCGCUAAAGCAACAAUGGUAAAAUAACAUAGGGUGGGAGACCUACCCGUUAGGGCAUGAACUCUGUAAUGAUCCCUCCGCAGGUUCACCUACGGAGA